GGCAAGGUAGCUCAGUUGGUUAGAGCGCCGCACUCAUAACGCGGAGAUCGAGGGUUCGAUCCCCUCCCUUGCUA
rnacentral:tRNA from 1 species